UAAUAUUUUCUCAUUUGUUAAAAAGAUUUAGAAAUUUUCAAAUGUGACAUAAUUAAACGGAAGCAACCGAGUACAAAUCGUAAGCAUGUAAACAAAUCCAAAAUCAUAAGUCUACUAGUGUGUGUGCUAAGACCUGGUGUCACAAGUAUGUGGGCAAUCUAGUAGAAUAUACAAAAGAACACUAGCCUACUGUCUGAAAGGAAAUAGACAGAAAAAUAAAAUAUAAGGGAGACUCCAACUGCUGCAGAACGGCUCAGAAGGUAGCUCACCGUGAAGUCUCGAGAUGGGGAUCAAAUCUGCACACCAGACUGGUAACUAGAUGCACCUACCUCAGAUCCUGUACAAUUAAGUAUAGAAGUAUAGCGUGAGUACAUAAACAAUAUGUACCCAGUAAGUAUCUAGUCUAACCUCGAAGAGGUAGUGAUGAUGGGUCGACUCCAACACUUACUAAGGGCCAACAAUAUGAUAAUAUGAAAUUCUAAUUAAGCAUGAUAUAUAUAACAAUAAAACUCAGAACAAGAAAUAACUGAACAAUUCAUCACCAUGUUUAAGAACUCAAAUCACUUCAUUUAAAACAAAUAAUCUUUCAAAUAAUGAAUUUAUACCAAUUAUAAAAGGGACUUCCAGUUCUAUUAUCACACACAAAAUUCCACCGAGGACGUUCGGCCCGAUCUAACAUAAAUACAAAUUGUGCACUGCCGAGGAUCGAACGGUACGAACCAUAGAUGCAUCUAUUAACCUGCCGAGGCGAAAUACCUGCUCCCAUGAGAGUAGUAGAAAGAAUUACGCCGCUCGCGAAAUAUACUUACUACGCGGUCAAAUAUAAAUUAUCAAUAGAUCAUAACUCUCUCUUGAUUCUUUUCAAAAUAAAGACAAUUGAACUUGAAGCUUUUAAAUCCUUAAAAUCCUCGACUUAGUUCCAUUUGAUACAAUUAACAAAUAUAAUCAAUAACGGUAUCCACAAAGCAUGGUAUAAACCUAAAACCUACCCGAACAUAAAAAUAAUAGUAGCUACGUACGGACUCUCGUCACUUCAUGCGUACGUAGCCCCUCACAAAUAACAACACAAAUUAAUUAAGUUCACCUAUGGGGUAAAUUCCCUCUUACAAGGUUAGAAAAGAGACUUACCUCAUCUCAAGGCCUACUUCCCAAUUCAAGAAUGCGCUCAAACCUCCAAAUUUGAUGCCAAAUAACUCGGAACUAGUCAAACAUUAUAUAAAUCAAUCAAUCUAUGCUCAAAAGUUCAAAUCUCCAGUAUAAGAGUGAUUACCCAACCCAAAUUGCAAGAUUCCUAAAAUUUACCCCCGGGCCCACAUACCAGAAUUCCAAAAUUUUUUUAAGAAAGUUGUUAUCCAUGGUUUUCACUAAGUUUCAUAAUCAUUUUCGUGGUAAAAUAUCAUUUUUAUUAAACCCUAGGUAUUUUAUCUAAACCUAUGAUUUCUACCAAUUUUCAUGUUGAAAUUUACUCAUAAUCUAUGUAUUAAACUGACAUUAAGGUAGGAAUUACUUACCCUCAAUAGCUAGGUUGAAGUCUCCCUUUUUGAAGCUCUAAAAUCGCCCAAGUGUGUGAAGAAUGGGAGAAAAAUGCCUAAGUCCCGUAUUAAAUGAAGUUCACUGCAUUCAGCGAUUUCCGCACCUGCGGUCAUAGGGUCGCACUUGCGCCCUCACUUCUGUGGACAAACGUCCACUUCUGCGGAACUCCCCUGGGCCGGCUGGUGUCGCUUCUGCGGACGGGUUUCCGCUUCUGCGGAGGAUGGGCCGCACCUGUGGAACCUGCUUCCCUUCCUUGGCCGCUUCUGCGAGGCUUGGCUCGCACCUGCGGCUGAUCAAGCGCACGUGCGAUUAUGACAGACCUGCUUCAGCUGUUGUUCCAAAUUCUCAUCUUGGUCCGAUCCGCGUCCGAUUGACGCUCGGGGCCCCCGGGGCCCCGCCCGAACAUACCAACAAGUUUGGAAUCUUAAAACGGACUCGCUCAAAUUCUCGGAAUACCCAAAACAACAUCAAAACUAAGAAUCGAACCCCAAAACCAAUUGAACCAAACUUAAGAACUUCAAGUUCUUCAAUUCAUUUCCAAUGCACCGAAACGUUUUUACAGUACUCGGAAUGAUACCAAAUUUUGCGUGCAAGUCUUAAAUGAUAUUUUGGAACUAUUCUCGGUCUCGGAAUUCCAUGUGGACCUUGAUAUCACCAAAACCCGCUCCCAACCAAAUUUAAAGAAUUUCUAAAACCUUCAAGAACCAACUCUCACUAUUAGGCACCAAAAAGCUCUGGGGUCAUAAAACUCGAUCUGAACAUACACCCAAGUCCGAAAUCAUCAUCAUACGAACCUAUUAGAACCGUCAAAUUCCGAUUCUGAGGUCGUCUACUCAAAAUGUUGACCGAAGUCAAACUUGGCCUUUUAGGCCAACCUUAAGGAACCAAGUGUUCUGAUUUCAACCCGAACCCUUCCAAAUCCCGAACUAACCAUUCCCAUAAGUCAUAAAGCAGUAAAAGUAUGUAUGAGAAGUCUUAUUUAGGGGAACGGGGUUCUAGAAAUCAAAACGACCGGUCGGGUCGUUACAUUUGUAAUAUAAUAUAGAUGUAGAUUUUCUCCAGAAAAAUAAUUACUAAUACUAGUUGAGUACCAUUGACACAAUAAUUCCUAUAUAUUUGCUUGUAUUAAGAUUGAUACGUCUGAAUUUGAAUACACAUUUGAAUAUUAAGAUGUUCAAUUAAGAUUAUAAGAUGUCUGAAUUUGAAUUUAUAUUUGAAUUAAUAUUAAGAAUUUAAGAUGUUACAUUAAGAUCUUAAUACUAAAUAAUUAGGGUUUUUUGUUUCUCAAUAUUUGAAUAUAUAAAGCAUAUAUUUAUUUAUUAAUUAAUAAAUUUAAAUUUCAAAACUAUAUCAAUAAAAUAUUAAAUUGUUUAUGGCGAAUAGUGAUGGUGAUAAUUAACCAUAAUGGUCGUAGAAUUAGUGUGCUGCAAGAGAGAGAAGUCCAUUCAUAUAGAAAGGGAUCACUUCAGUAAGCAAAGGCUUCCAUAUACAUUGAAUGUGAGAAGCAUGGGCAAAAAGGCAUCCAUUGCCACAACAGUGGUGAAGGAUCUUUGUGAUUUCACCUCUAAUAAAUCUAACUCUUCCUCGCACAUUGGAUUUUAAAGAAAAUACCACUCAAUAAAUAAAGGUCCAGUAGUCACAAUGUAACAUUAUUUAGGUAAUGAUAAUAUAAUAUGCUUUAGUAAUAUUAUUUAUACUUCUCCAUAUCUCUAUAAAUUCUCCUUUCAUUGAUGCGGACUAUCGAGGGAUGUCUCCCGGUAACAAUGCUUUACCGAUAGGAAUUGCUUUUGUGGAUUUUUGGAGAGUAUUAUGCGGAGGAUCCGCUUAAUAUUUUAUAACCCUAAAUCGAAAUUGGGAAAAGAAAAAAAAACUUACCUCAGAGGUAGAACCGCUUGGACAUCGGUGGUGGCUGGUUGGAGGAGUCGGCAGCGUAGAGGUAAGUUAGGUCUAAGAGAGGAUUAAAAGAGAGAGAAAAUAACUAAAUUAGGGCUUCUGCCCGACAUAACAUAAACGGACCGAGAGACCCU
rnacentral:lncRNA from 1 species